GGAAUAAGGAGUAGUAGUAGACAAAAUAGCUAUGAUUCGUUUCUUAUCGAGAGCAGCGACUACCGUUGCUCGAACAGCCUGGUUGCAACCAAUCUCCAAUAGACGCUCCCUGUUUGCUCCGUCAUCAACAUCAACAUUGAGAUUGUUUCAUGAGAAAAUCAACGGUCCAAAUGCAAGCCCAGUUGCUCUUCAGAUGAUCGACUACGCUCUCUCUCUUGCCAAAUCUCAGAAAUCAGAUGAAUCUGUC
rnacentral:misc_RNA from 1 species